rnacentral:rRNA from 1 species
GAUGAACGCUGGCGGCGUGCCUAAUACAUGCAAGUCGAGCGAACAGACGAGGAGCUUGCUCCUCUGACGUUAGCGGCGGACGGGUGAGUAACACGUGGAUCACCUACCUAUAAGACUGGGAUAACUUCGGGAAACCGGAGCUAAUACCGGAUAAUAUAUUGAACCGCAUGGUUCAAUAGUGAAAGACGGUUUUGCUGUCACUUAUAGAUGGAUCCGCGCCGCAUUAGCUAGUUGGUAAGGUAACGGCUUACCAAGGCAACGAUGCGUAGCCGACCUGAGAGGCUGAUCGGCCACACUGGAACGGAGACACGGUCCAUACUCCUACGGGAGGCAGCAGUAGGGAAUCUUCCGCAAUGGUCGAAAGCCUGACGGAGCAACGCCGCGUGAGUGAUGAAGGUCUUCGGAUCGUAAAACUCUGUUAUUAGGGAAGAACAAAUUUGUAAGUAACUAUGCACGUCUUGACGGUACCUAAUCAGAAAGCCACGGCUAACUACGUG